ACAAGCGGUGGAGCAUGUGGUUAAUUCGACAAUAAGCGGAAAACCUUACCAAGGCUUGACAUCUCUGGAAUCCUGCAGAACGUAGGAGUGCCCGCAAGGGAGCCAGAUGACAGGUGCUGCAUGGUUGUCGUCAGCUCGUGCUGUGAAGUGUACGGUUAAGUCCGAUAACGAGCGCAACCCCCAUCAUGAGUUACUAUGUCUCAUGAAACUGACUACAUCAAGUAGUAGGAAGGCGGGGAUGACGUCAAAUCAGCAUGGCCCUUACGCCUUGGGCAACACACGUGCUACAAUGGGUAAUACAAAGGGUUUGCCAAAUCGCAAGAUGGAGCUAAUCCCAUCAAAAUUACCCUCAGUUCAGAUUGAGGUCUGCAACUCGACCUCAUGAAGUCGGAAUCGCUAGUAAUCGUAGGUCAGCACACUACGGUGAAUACGUUCUCGGGUCUU
rnacentral:rRNA from 1 species